rnacentral:rRNA from 1 species
GGAUUCUACCGUCGGUCGGGCUAACAAGUCUGUACUGGUGUGUAGAAUUUCUACCUUCUGGGGAACUAUCAUGUUAUUAAUUUAGCGUGGUGGGAAACCAGGACCUUUACCUUGAAAAAUUAGAGUGUUCAAAGCAGGCUUACGUCUGAAUACAUUAGCAUGGAAUAAUAGAAUAGGACGGUGGUCCUGUUUUGUUGGUUUCUGAAUCACCGUAAUGAUUAAUAG